rnacentral:rRNA from 1 species
UACGUAGGGUGCAAGCGUUGUCCGGAAUUAUUGGGCGUAAAGAGCUCGUAGGCGGUUUGUCGCGUCUGCUGUGAAAACCCGGAGCUCAACUCCGGGCCUGCAGUCGAUACGGGCGGACUAGAGUUCGGCAGGGGAGACUGGAAUUCCUGGUGUAGCGGUGAAAUGCGCAGAUAUCAGGAGGAACACCGGUGGCGAAGGCGGGUCUCUGGGCCGAUACUGACGCUGAGGAGCGAAAGCGUGGGGAGCGAACAGG